AGUGAACGCUGGCGGUAGGCCUAACACAUGCAAGUCGAACGGCAGCACAGUAAGAGCUUGCUCUUACGGGUGGCGAGUGGCGGACGGGUGAGGAAUACAUCGGAAUCUACUUUUUCGUGGGGGAUAACGUAGGGAAACUUACGCUAAUACCGCAUACGACCUACGGGUGAAAGCAGGAGAUCUUCGGACCUUGCGCGAUUGAAUGAGCCGAUGUCGGAUUAGCUAGUUGGCGGGGUAAAGGCCCACCAAGGCGACGAUCCGUAGCUGGUCUGAGAGGAUGAUCAGCCACACUGGAACUGAGACACGGUCCAGACUCCUACGGGAGGCAGCAGUGGGGAAUAUUGGACAAUGGGCGAAGGCCUGAUCCAGCCAUACCGCGUGAGUGAAGAAGGUCUUCGGGUUGUAAAGCCCUGUUGUUGGGAAAGAAAAGCAGCAGGUUAAUACCCCGCUGUUCUGACGGUACCCAAAGAAUAAGCAACGGCUAACUUCGUG
rnacentral:rRNA from 1 species